UACGGAGGGUGCGAGCGUUGUUCGGAAUCACUGGGCGUAAAGCGCACGUAGGCGGCUUUCUAAGUCAGGGGUGAAAAUCCUGGAGCUCAACUCCAGAACUGCCUUUGAUACUGGGAAGCUUGAGUCCGGAAGAGGUGAGUGGAACUCCUAGUGUAGAGGUGGAAUUCGUAGAUAUUAGGAAGAACACCAGUGGCGAAGGCGGCUCACUGGUCCGGUACUGACGCUGAUGUGCGAAAGCGUGGGGAGCAAACGGGG
rnacentral:rRNA from 1 species